rnacentral:rRNA from 1 species
AGUCGAGCGGAUGAGAGGAGCUUGCUCCUGGAUUCGGCGGCGGACGGGUGAGUAAUGCCUAGGAAUCUGCCUGGUAGUGGGGGACAACGUUUCGAAAGGAACGCUGAUACCGCAUACGUCCUACGGGAGAAAGCAGGGGACCUUCGGGCCUUGCGCUAUCAGAUGAGCCUAGGUCGGAUUAGCUAGUUGGUGAGGUAAUGGCUCACCAAGGCGACGAUCCGUAACUGGUCUGAGAGGAUGAUCAGUCACACUGGAACUGAGACACGGUCCAGACUCCUACGGGAGGCAGCAGUGGGGAAUAUUGGACAAUGGGCGAAAGCCUGAUCCAGCCAUGCCGCGUGUGUGAAGAAGGUCUUCGGAUUGUAAAGCACUUUAAGUUGGGAGGAAGGGCAGUAAAUUAAUACUUUGCUGUUUUGACGUUACCGACAGAAUAAGCACCGGCUAACUCUGUGCCAGCAGCCGCGGUAAUACAGAGGGUGCAAGCGUUAAUCGGAAUUACUGGGCGUAAAGCGCGCGUAGGUGGUUCGUUAAGUUGGAUGUGAAAUCCCCGGGCUCAACCUGGGAACUGCAUUCAAAACUGUCGAGCUAGAGUAUGGUAGAGGGUGGUGGAAUUUCCUGUGUAGCGGUGAAAUGCGUAGAUAUAGGAAGGAACACCAGUGGCGAAGGCGACCACCUGGACUGAUACUGACACUGAGGUG